CCGAGCCGCGCUUGCGCAAGAGGAGAGCGGCGCCAGUCCCGGCCGCGCAUGCGCACGACCCUCGGGGCGCGCGCCGGGGUGUCCCAGCGCGCGGCCGCGGCGUCAGGAUGUGUGCGGCGCUCGGCCGGCCUAAGAUCGUCCGGCUGCGGGACCUGCACAGCGCGCGCAAGUUCGGCGUGGCGGGCCGCACCUGCCAGGAGGUGCUGCGCAAGGGCUGCCAGCGCUUCCAGGUUCCCGAGCGCGGCUCCCGGCUGUGCCUGUACGAGGACGGCACGGAGGUGACCGAGGACUACUUCCCGGGCGUCCCCGACGACGCCGAGCUCGUGCUGCUCACCGCCGGCCAGACCUGGGGGGGCUAUGUGAGUGAUAUAGGUCGCUUCCUCAGCGUGUUUCAGGAGCCGCACCUGGGCGUCAUCCAGGCCGCCCGGCAGCUGCUGGCCGAUGAGCAGGCCCCGCUGCGGCAGAAGCUGCUGGUGGACCUGCUGCAGAGCGCAAGCCAGAACAUUGAGGCUGAGAUGCGGGCCCAGGACCCAGCCUGGUUCGAGGGCCUGGAGUCCCGAUUUAGGAACAAGUCUGGCUACCUGAGAUACAGCUGUGAGAGCCGGAUCCGGGGCUACCUGAGAGAGGUGAACGCCUACACCUCUGAGGUGGCCUCGGAGGCUCGCGAGGAGUACCUGCGUGUGCUUGGCGCCAUGUGCCGGAAGCUCAAGGCUGCGCAGUACCACGGCAGCUACUUCGAUCGAGGAGCCGAGGCCGGCAGCCGUCUCUGCACCCCGGAGGGCUGGUUCUCCUGCCAGCAGGGUGCUUUCGACCUGGAGGACUGCGCCUCGAAGCACUCCAUCAACCCCUACAGCAACCGGGAGAGCCGGAUCCUCUUCAGCACCUGGAACCUCGACCACAUGUCACGUGCUGCUCCUGGAGCUAUGGGUCACCAGGGAAUUCCAUGUGCUGAUUGGCUGAAGACAAUCCUGGGCCGGAGUGUGUGAUCGGUCAGCACUGUGGGCCUGAUGCAUCGUUGGCGGCUGAUCACAUUUCCAGAGAACAGCAUGGACACUGUGGAGCUGCCCACACUCAGACGCAGGCCAGUGCUUCACCUCCUCAUCACCAGGGCACCCAGUAACUGACUGAAGCUGACCUCGUUCUGCUGUUUCCCAGGAGAGGUGGCUGAGAAGGAAGCACCCGAAACCACGCAGUUCGCAGUUCUCCGGGUUCACGCCGAAAGCACUUAGGAACAGGAAGGGAGGUGCCAGUCGUGGGGACCUUCGAGCCGUCGGUGCUUCUGUCCUCACUGGUUCCAGGCUGGAACUCCAAUGUGCACCUGGAAGCUGGAGGCCACCCGGUGCCCGCUGGGGGUUCAGGAGCUCGAGGGGCCCCAUCCCUCCCGCCCUCCUCCUUCCCUCCCGCUCCUCUCCCUGGCCAGCCCUCCUGCCGCCCGCUGCUGUGACAUGAGUGUGCCUGUGUUGGCAUUUUAUUGUCCUUGACACUCUCUGCUUCCGUCUCGUGUUGGCCGUUUCCGGUUGGCGUGGGGGACUCAGCCACAGACCUUUCUGGAAUCCCCAGCUGCCCUUCCGCUGGGUGUCUGCUCGGGUGCUUCUGCUUUUGGGGUCUCCUUUCCUUUCUCUGCCAUGUUCCCUAAGAUCCGUUAGGGUUUGACCUGUGUCCUUGUACUUCCUUACCCGCCACCCUCAUGAGCAACCUGGUCUGGCUGUGCUGGGUUCCAUCUCUGGGGCCUGGUCCUUGAACCCUGGCCUACCUUGCAGUGUCUAUGCUGCGUUCUCCCCACCUGGCCAUUGGCCGGCCCUGGAACAGGAAACCAGCAAGCUCUCUGAUAGCAGUCACGUGGGCAGCGCCCUUGCUGGGCCCACCAUUCUCGGAGCAGUGCCUUCUCCCCAGCAGACAGGGGUGAGCAGGGCGGGCAGGCUCUGCCCCAGGCACUGCGAGUGGAACAGGGGCCGGGCAGCGCCCGAUCCAUCCCUGCACACCUGCUCUCCUUGGCGAGAAGUAUGUGUGCUGGCUCCUCUCCUCUGUGUCCCCCACCUGCCACGGACAGGAGCCAGGGCUGGUAACCCCUGGGCACGCUGUCCUGUCCUUCAUUUAGAGAUGGCCGGGGAGAGUGGCCUGUCCCCCGCCCCCACCGCUGCUGGCAGCUGUGCAGUGUGUGUGCUUGGUUGCUCACCCUUGGGCCCCAGGACCUUUGCCUUGGACCACGGUGGCGAGUAGGGCUGAGUGACAUUGAGGGUAGGGUGUGGGGACAGGGAGCCCCUCUGGCACCCUCCCCGCCUCUUGGGAUGUGUUAGGACGACUGGGCCGGGACGCUUCCUCACCAUCUGUCUCCUGAGCACGAUGAUCCUGGGCUCCCGCAACCGAGUUCCAAUUUGCAGUUGUAAAUUGAAUUUCCCCCUCGCUCUCCCUCCACGUUUGGCAGCAUGGCAGCUGGAAGGGCUCUCUCCACAGGGCAGGACCGGCCCCAGGCGUCCCUGGGCGGGGUGGGUGAGGGGCACAGCUGUGGGGCUGUGCUCUGGGUGACCCUGGGCUGCUUCUCCAUGUUGGACUCCAUCAAGGGGACCUGAGCUCCGAGCUGGGCUGACAAACCCCUGUGCACGGUGCCAUUAGAUGGUGCCCCACAGAGGCCCCCGACCUCUGAGCUGCUGCUCCUGCUCUUGAGGGUCACACCGUGGUGGUCCCUGCACAACACGGUGGUCCUGUCUCGUGACGCCCCCCACGCCCCGAUCCUGCUGCAGGGCUCUGCUGUCCCCGACCCUAAUGCCAACACCUUUAUGGCUGCGUCUGGGGUCCAGGUCUGCAUCCAUCCCAGGCCUCUGCUCAGACCCACGGCUCCUCUGUCAUCGGAAGAGUGGAGGCAAAGCUCCUGACCUUCCCGGGAAUGGCGGCGGGCACAGUGCUCCCCAGAGCAGCCCCCCCCCGCUUCCAGAUGAAUGGCCCCUCUGGUUCUCAAUCCCUGCGCUCCUUGUCCCUGGCAUGGCCGCGGCUCAGUGCCCUUCCGGGGUCUCCUUGAUGGCCUUCUUGCUGUUUCCCGUCCACACCGUGUCCUUCCCUGUUUAUCCUGCCUGCCUGACCUCCGGUCACCAGCCCGCCUGUCUCCUCACUGGAUGGGUUCCCUGGCCUCUCUGCCUCCUCCACUCACCCCAGCUCGCCCUGCCCAGAGUCCAUCUGUGGGAGCUGCGCCUCCACUGGGGGAUGUGAUGGUGCUGGUGGCUCCCAGGACCUCAGGGUCAGGGGACCGGGUCUGAGGCCUCUGUGGUUGUUACAGGUGAUCCACUGUGUCAGCUUGAGAAGUUUACAAGUUUAACAGGGACUCAGCAGGGAGCCAGGGUCCUUACUCAGCUGUGCAAGAGGAGGGCAAGGAGAUUUUGUGAGUGCCUGCCCUAGUGUGUCGAGGCGGGGAGGUGCUGCUUACAAUGUAAGGGAGAACAGGCUUGUUCCCCCCUUUGUGCUCUGGCUGCUGCCCUCAAGUGUUGCCCCAGUGCUGUGCCACCCUGCCUUGGGGCCAGCCGAGUACCGACUGAAACCUCCACAGACUUCAAGCCAAAUAAACCUUUCCUCGCUUCAUGUUGGGUGUUGGGUGUUUUGUCUCAGCAAUGAGACUUUGGGCUCCUCCCAAACUCUCCCUCCCGUUGUCUGCAGGGCAGUCACCUGUCUGCUCCUCCCAGUGGGGUCCAGACUACGUCACUGUAGCCGGUCUUGCUGGGAGGAGCAGCUUCGCCACAGCACGGGUUCAGAUGGAGCCAGGCUGGACAGUGAGCCUGGGCCUGGUGUGCAGUGUACGUGGCCUCAGGCUCCUCACAGCGCAGCACCAGGGGAGUAGGCAGGGUCUGGCGUGACAGGGUGACGCACAGAGGGGUUUUAGGGCAGUGUAAUGGCCAUGAAUGACCUCUAGCAGUGACACCUGCUGUUCUGCAUUUGACCAAACCCACAGAAUGUGCCUAGCAAACAGGGUUCCAUGUGCAGACCAGGGCCAAGGAGGUCGCACUGGAUACAGGUGCGCUGCCC